CAUAGAACCCUAGAAAUGGUUGCGUUGAAAUGGUCCUUGAAGGUCACAGAACCAUGGAAUCCCAAAACUGGUUGGCUUGGAAUGGUCCUCGAAGGUCACAGAACCAUGGAACAGUAGAACUGGUUGCGUUGGAAUGGAACUUAAAGGUCACAGAACCAUGGAACCCCAGAACUGCUUGGGUUGGAAUGGUCGUUAAAUGUCACAGAACCAUGGAACCCUUGAACUCGUUGGGUUGGAAUGGUCCUUAAAGGUCACAGAACCAUGGAACCAUAGAAAUUGUUGGGUUGGACCUGAACUUAAAGGUCACAGAACCAUGGAACCCUUGAACAUGGAUGCGUUGGAAUCGUCCUUAAAGGUCACAGACCCAGGCAACCAGAGAACUGGUUGGGUUGGAAUGGUCCUUAAAGGUCACAGAACCAUGGAACCCUUGUAAUGGUUGGGUUGGAAUGGUCCUUGAAGGUCACAGAACAAUGGAAUACUAGAACUGCUAGGUUGGAAUGUAACUUAAAGGUCACAGAACCAUGGAAUCCUAGAACUGGUUGCGUUGGAUUCAUCCUUAAAGGUCACAGACCCAGGCAACCCCAGAACUGGUUGGGUUGGAAUGGUCCUUAAAGGUCACAGAACCAUGGAAUCCCAGAACUGGUUGGGUUGCAAUUGUCCUUAAAGGUCACAGAACCAUGGAACCCUUGAAAUGGUUUGGUUGGAAUGGUCCUUGAAGGUCACAGAACCACGGUACACUAGAACUGCUUGGUCGGAAUGGUCCUUAAAGGUCACAGAACCAUGGAACCCCAGAACUGGAUGGGUUGGAAUGGUCCUUAAAGGUUAGAGAACCAUGGAACACCAGAACUGGUUGGGAUGGAAUGGUCCUUGAAGGUCACAGAACCAUGGAAUCCUAGAACUGGUUGCGUUGGAUUCAUCCUUAAAGGUCACAGACCCAGGCAACCCCAGAACUGGUUGGGUUGGAAUGGUCCUUAAAGGUCACAGAACCAUGGAAUCCCAGAACUGGUUGGGUUGCAAUUGUCCUUAAAGGUCACAGAACCAUGGAACCCUUGAAAUGGUUUGGUUGGAAUGGUCCUUGAAGGUCACAGAACCACGGUACACUAGAACUGCUUGGUCGGAAUGGUCCUUAAAGGUCACAGAACCAUGGAACCCCAGAACUGGAUGGGUUGGAAUGGUCCUUAAAGGUCACAGAACCAUGGAACACUAGAAAAGUUUGGGAUGGAAUGGUCCUUAAAGGUAACAGAACCAUGGAACCCCAGAACUGGUUGGGUUGUAAUGGAACUUAAAGGUCACAGAACCACGGAACCCCAGAACUGGUUGGGUUGGAAUGGUCCUUAAAGGUCACAGAACCAUGGAACCCUAGAACUGGUUGGGAUGGAAUGGUCCUUAAAGGUCACAGAACCAUGGAACCCUAGAAAUGGUUGGGUUGGAAUGGUCCUUAAAGGUCACAGAACCAUGGAACCCCAGAAAUGGUUGGGUUGGAAUGGUCCUUAAACGUCACAGAACCAUGGAACCGCAGAACUGGUUGUUAUGGAAUGGUCAUGAAUCGUCACAGAACCAUGGAACCCUACAACUGGUAGGGUUGGAAUGGUCCUUAAAGGUCACAGAACCAUGGAACAGUAGAAAAGGUUGGGUUGGAAUGGUCCUUAAAGGUCACAGAACCACGGAACACUAGAACUGGUUGGGUUGGAAUGGAACUUAAAGGUCACAGAACCAUGGAACCCUAGAACAGGUUGGGUUGGAAUGGAACUUAAAGGUCACAGAACCAUGGAACCCCAGAACUGGUUGGGUUGGAAUGGUCCUUGAAGGUCACAGAACCAUGGAACCCUAGAACUGGUUGGGUUGGAAUGGUCCUUGAAGGUCACAGAACCAUGGAACCCUAGAACUGGUUGGGUUGGAAUGGUCCUUAAAGGUCAUAGAACCAUGGAACCCUACAACUGGUUGGGUUGGAAUGGUCCUUGAAGGUCACAGAACCAUGGAACCCCAGAACUGCUUGUGUUGGAAUGGUCCUUGAAGGUCACAGAACCACGGAAUACUAGAACUGCUUGGGUUGGAACUGAUCUUAAUGGACACAGAACCAUGGAAUCCCAGAACUGGUUGGCUUGGAAUGGUCCUUAAAGAUCACAGAACCAUGGAACCCUAGAACAGGUAGGGUUGGAAUGGUCCUUAAAGGUCACAGAAUCAUGGAACACUAGAACUGCUUGUGUUGGAAUGGUCCUUAAAGGUCACAGAACCAUGGAACACUAGAACUGCUUGUGUUGGAAUGGUCCUUAAAGGUCACAGAACCAUGGAACCCUAGAACUGGCUGGGUUGGAAUAUUCCCUAAAGGUCACAGUACCAUGGGACCCUAGAAAUGGUUGGGUUAGAAUGGUCCUUAAAAUUCACAGAACCAUGGAAAGCCAGUACUGGUUGGGAUGGAAUUGUCCUUAAAGUUCAGAGAACCAUGUAACCCCAGAACUUGUAGGGUUGGAAUGGUCCUUAAAUGUCACAGAACCAUGGUACACCAGAACUGCUUGGGUUGGAAUGCUCAAAGUUCACAGAAACAAGGAACCGCAGAACUGCUAUGGUUGGAAUGGUCCUUAAAGGUUAGAGAACCAUGGAACACCAGAACUGGUUGGGAUGGAAUGGUCCUUGAAGGUCACAGAACCAUGGAAUCCUAGAACUGGUUGCGUUGGAUUCAUCCUUAAAGGUCACAGACCCAGGCAACCCCAGAACUGGUAGGGUUGGAAUGGUCCUUAAAGGUCACAGAACCAUGGAACCCUUGAAAUGGUUUGGUUGGAAUGGUCCUUGAAGGUCACAGAACCACGGAACACUAGAACUGCUUGGUUGGAAUGGUCCUUAAAGGUCACAGAACCAUGGAACCCCAGAACUGGAUGGGUUGGAAUGGUCCUUAAAGGUCACAGAACCAUGGAACCCCAGAACUGGUUGGGUUGUAAUGGAACAUAAAGGACACAGAUCCACGGAACCCUAGAAUUGGUUGGGAUGGAAUGGUCCUUGAAGGUCACAGAACCAUGGAACCCUAGAAAUGGUUGCGUUGAAAUGGUCCUUGAAGGUCACAGAACCAUGGAAUCCCACAAUUGGUUGGCUUGGAAUGGUCCUCGAAGGUCACAGAACAAUGGAACAGUAGAACUGGUUGCGUUGGA